UACGUAGGUGGCAAGCGUUAUCCGGAAUUAUUGGGUGUAAAGGGUGCGUAGACGGGAAUCUAAGUUAGUUGUGAAAUCCCUCGGCUUAACUGAGGAACUGCAACUAAAACUGGAUUUCUUGAGUGCAGGAGAGGAAAGUGGAAUUCCUAGUGUAGCGGUGAAAUGCGUAGAUAUUAGGAGGAACACCAGUGGCGAAGGCGGCUUUCUGGACUGUAACUGACGUUGAGGCACGAAAGUGUGGGGAGCAAACA
rnacentral:rRNA from 1 species